rnacentral:rRNA from 1 species
CCUACGGGAGGCAGCAGUGGGGAAUAUUGCGCAAUGGGCGAAAGCCUGACGCAGCGACGCCGCGUGAGGGAUGAAGGUCUUCGGAUCGUAAACCUCUGUCAGCAGGGAAGAACGGUCACUGUGCUAAUCAGCAGUGAAUUGACGGUACCUGCAAAGGAAGCACCGGCUAACUCCGUGCCAGCAGCCGCGGUAAUACGGAGGGUGCGAGCGUUAAUCGGAAUUACUGGGCGUAAAGCGCUCGUAGGCGGUAUGUCAAGUCAGGGGUGAAAUCCCCGGGCUCAACGGGGGAACUGCAUUUGAAACUGGCAAGCUGGAGUGUGGGAGAGGGUAGUGGAAUUCCAGGUGUAGGAGUGAAAUCCGUAGAUAUCUGGAGGAACAUCAGUGGCGAAGGCGACUAUCUGGCACAUAACUGACGCUGAGGAGCGAAAGCGUGGGUAGCAAACAGGAUUAGAUACCCCAGUAGUC